rnacentral:rRNA from 1 species
UACAGAGGGGGCAAGCGUUGUUCGGAAUUACUGGGCGUACAGGGCGCGUAGGCGGACCGCCACGUGCCGUGUGACAAGCCACUGCUCAACAGUGGAGGGCCAUGGUACACGAGCAGUCUGGAGGCAGGGAGAGGGAUGUGGAAUGGCCGGUGGAGCGGUGAAAUGCGUAGAGAUCGGGCGGAACACCAGCGGCGAAGGCGGCAUCCUGGUCCUGUUCUGACGCUGAGGCGCGAGAGCGUGGGGAGCGAACUGG